ACCGGCAAGAUGGCGGCGGUGCUGACCUUCCGCCGGCUGUUGACUCUCCCCAGGGCUGCACGGGGUUUCGGGGUUCAAGUGUCGCCGAGCGGGGAAAAGAUCACGCAUACCGGCCAGGUAACGGCCGCGCCCGCCAUGCCUGGAACCCAAGACUGACGGUAGCAGGGAGCGCAGCAAGGUGUGCUUCUGCCAGGCUAGCGCGCGGCACUACUGGGCUCACCUUGUGCAACCCGCUGCUCCGGUUUCUAGCUGGUGGCUUUCGGUGUAUGAUGAAAAAGACUACAGGAGGGUUCGUUUUGUAGAUCGUCAGAAAGAGGUGAAUGAGAACUUUGCCAUUGAUUUGAUAGCACAACAGCCUGUGAAUGAGGUGGAGCACCGCAUCAUAGCCUGCGAUGGAGGCGGUGGUGCCCUGGGCCACCCCAAGGUGUACAUAAACUUGGACAAAGAAACAAAAACGGGGACAUGUGGCUACUGCGGCCUGCAGUUCAAGCAGCACCAUCACUAGUGUGGGCUGUGUCCUGGUCCUCUGACUCCUAUGGAACAUCUCCACGCUGGGUGUUCUGUGUGAGGCCACUGCUCUGUGAAUGGUGUCCCUUGUUUUGAAUAAAGGAUGCUCCCACCAUG